GAUGAACGCUAGCUACAGGCUUAACACAUGCAAGUCGAGGGGCAGCGCAGUGUAGCAAUACAUGGGCGGCGACCGGCGCACGGGUGCGUAACGCGUAUCCAACCUUCCCGUUACUCAGGGAUAGCCUUCCGAAAGGGAGAUUAAUACCUGAUGGUGUUGAAAUUCCGCAUGUUAUUUCAACUAAAGAUUUAUCGGUAACGGAUGGGGAUGCGUGACAUUAGGUAGAUGGCGGGGUAACGGCCCACCAUGCCUACGAUGUCUAGGGGUUCUGAGAGGAAGGUCCCCCACACUAGAACUGAGACACGGUCCAGACUCCUACGGGAGGCAGCAGUGAGGAAUAUUGGUCAAUGGUCGGAAGACUGAACCAGCCAAGUAGCGUGAAGGAUGAAGGUUCUAUGGAUUGUAAACUUCUUUUAUACGGGAAUAAAACCACCUACGUGUAGGUGCUUGUAUGUACCGUAUGAAUAAGCAUCGGCUAACUCCGUGCCAGCCGCCGCUGUAAAAC
rnacentral:rRNA from 1 species